rnacentral:tRNA from 1 species
UCUAAUAUGGCAGAUAAGUGCAAUGGAUUUAAGCUCCAUUUAUAAGGGUUUAUACCCUUUGUUAGAA